GUGCUUUCUUUGGCAGCACAUAUACUAAAAUUGGAACAAUACAGAGAAGAUUAGUACGGCCUCUGCAGAAGGAUGACAUGAAAAUUCAUGAAGUUUUUCAUAUGUUU
ensembl:snRNA U6 U6 spliceosomal RNA